rnacentral:ncRNA from 1 species
GUAAGCAACUCCACGGCUAAAGCCGGGAGCUUUUGGGAGUCAUUCUGAAGGCUCACGCUUACCAGCCCGAGUCGAAAGGCAACUGGAGACGACGUUGACCGAGAAGUUCAAGACC